CUCACAGAGUUUAUUUUUCUACUUCACGGGAACGACUCAUCAGUCUUCCGCACAAAGAAAUGCGCACUCUGACAGGUUANGGGCCCAGAGAUGAAGAGAUAAGGCAGUCCAGAUCNACUGAUAAGAUGUUUCUGGAAGACGGACUACAGAACUUCGUUUGCCGUGAGUAGAGUGGAGAUUUUAGCCUGCUAUCUGCAGAAGAAGCUUUUCGCUGACUUCCUGAAAGUUCCCUUACUACUAACCAUGGCNNUAGUCAAUCCUGCUNCGGCCUUACCAAUUGAAAGGCUCUCNGGGACUAACUAUGCUUUUUGGAAAGUUAAGAUUGAAUCUUUCUUGAUACGCGAAAAUCUUUGGCAGUAUAUAGAGGCUCCUCCAGCUCAGCCANANGAANGUCAGAUANNUGCUGACAGAAAGGCNAUGGCCACAAUUAAGCUUUCUCUGGAGAAUUCACAGCUGUGCCUAUUAAGAGGGCUGACUACAGCAAAGCAAUGCUGGGAUGCUUUGGCAGCAAUCUAUCAACGUCCAUCAACAGGAGUUUUGGUGUUGUUAUCCAGACGGCUCUACAGAGCGAGGCUGCAACGUGGAGAUUCGGUGAUUCCCCACAUCCANAAGAUGAAAGCAAUGUUCGCUGAACUUGCUGACAGAGGUUUGGAUUUCCAAGANAACCAUAAAGCAUUGAUUCUACUAUCCUCCCUAGAUGAAAGCUGGGAUUCAUUGGUGACCAGUCUUGAAGUGGUGCCAAGUAGAGAAUUUAGCUUUGAUUUUGUCAUUUCAAAGUUACUGGAUGCUCAACAGAAAAGGGAUUAUAAAGAAGAACAGCCGCGUACAACCAAGAAGGGGGAUGUUUCUGCAAUUGCUUCUACAUCAAAGACUGCUCCCAAGGUAAAGUGUUACAAAUGUCAAAAGUUUGGACAUAUUGCUAAACAUUGUAGGAGUACAUCUGUCUCCAAAAGAAGUGCUGGCCGAGCGCAGCAAACGAACAGAGUUAAUUGGAGAAGAGAUAACACUGAACAGGCUUUCCUGAUAACAACAGAAACUGAGACUAACAAGUUCAUAAUUGACUCUGGUUCCACUAGACAUAUUGUAAACAGAAAGGAACUUUUACAGGACUUAAACACUUUUGAUGAAGCCGUAAAAGUUAAAAUGGCUGAUGGUAAUAUCGUACAAGUAACACAAGGAGGUAAACUUUAUCUUGAAAGUCUUAAAACAACUUUGCAAAAUGUUUUAUAUGUACCUGAAAUGAAAUAUUGUUUACUUAGCGUUUCCAAGCUAGUAAAAGAAAAUUUUGAUGUCAGAUUCAGAGAGGAUGAAUGCCUGAUAGUGAAAAAUGAUAAGGUUAGCACUAAAGCUUAUUUGAAAGAUGACCUGUUCUGUCUAGAAAUGCCUGAACAAUGUGUUUGUACUGUUAAUACUAGUUUUAAUACUUGUUUACACAGUGAUAUUUGCUUCCAUAAUUGGCAUAGAAAGUUAGGACAUAUCUCCUUCCAAACUUUGGCCAAAACAGUCAAAGCAUGUGACAUUAAGGUGCAACCUUGCAAAACAUUUCUUGAGUGCACUGUUUGCAGACAGACUAACUUGAAAAGAUAUCCUUCCACUCGCAUCAGUGAAAGGAAAAGUUCAAGGCCUUUUGAGCUUGUACAUGCAGAUUUGCAAGGUCCAAAUGAAGUUUCCCUAGGGGGAUCUCGUUUUAUGUUAUUGCUGACAGAUGAUUUUUCAAGAUAUUCAUUUGUUUAUUUCUUGAAACACAAGUCUGAAGUUUUUGAAUAUUUUAAACAAUGGGUGAGAAUGAUUGAGAACAAACACAGCACAAAUGUUGNUGCAAUACAAACUGACAGAGGAGGUGAGUUUACGAGCAAACAAUUCAAACACUGGCUUCUUAAGAGAGGAAUUCAGCACAGGAUGACUAAUCCUUAUAGCCCAUUUGAAAAUGGUGUUGCUGAGAGGAGAAUUGGUUUAGUUAAAGCUAUGAGAGAAGCUAUGAUGCUUGAUGCUAACCUAUCUCCAAAGUAUUGGGCAGAAUGUUCAAGAACAGCUAUCUUUAACUUGAAUCGGUUAUGGAGCACUUCCAUUUCUGACAUUCCUUAUAGAAAGCUGUACAACAGAAAUCCCAAUUUUGAGUAUGCUCACACAUUUGGGCAAAAAGCCUACGUUCUCUUACCUGAAGCUCAGAGAACAAAGGAAAGUAAAACUUCUUUUUGUCAUUUUCUGGGGUACUCAGCUGGAUCAAAAAGUUUUCGUUUUAUAGACAAAAAUGGCAAAAUAAUCAUUUCCAGAAGUGCCAAUUUCCUAGAGCAUGAGAACUGGGACAGAUUACAUUCUAACAAGGAAGUUUUUCUANAGCCAAUGCAGCAAGAAAGGGCAGAAGAGGAUGAUUCUUUUCAGAGCUCAGUUCCUUCUCCCUCAGUGUCUCAGCCUAAAAUGAAACAUGAUACCUCACAGAGCAAANAGGAAGGCGUGACUAGUCAUUCAAGCCAGUCAGGGCAGACUGUCAUUUCUCAACACGCUGUACCUAAGAGUGAGAAGCAAGACUUUCCAGUCAGAGAAGGGGGGCGAAUUUUGCCCACAACUCAAGCCAAAAACCAAGAUGGCGAUUUUUCUGAAGUUGAGCAAACUUCACAGAGAAUUUCUACGAGAUCUACAAAAGGAAUCCCACCAGAGAGAUAUGGAUUUACUCAGUUAG
rnacentral:lncRNA from 1 species